rnacentral:rRNA from 1 species
UACGUAGGGUGCGAGCGUUAAUCGGAAUUACUGGGCGUAAAGUGUGCGCAGGCGGCCGCGCAAGUCGAGUGUGAAAGCCCCGGGCUUAACUUGGGAAUUGCGCUCGAAACUACGUGGCUGGAGUGUGGCAGAGGAAGGUGGAAUUCCACGUGUAGCGGAUGAAAUGCGUAGAGUAUCAGGAGGAACACCGGUGGCGAAAGCGCUCAUCUGGCCCAAUACUGACGCUGAGGCGACGAAAGCUAGGGGAGCAAACGGG